CCUACUGGAGGCAGCAGUGAGGAAUAUUGGUCAAUGGACGAGAGUCUGAACCAGCCAAGUAGCGUGAAGGAUGACUGCCCUAUGGGUUGUAAACUUCUUUUAUAUGGGAAUAAACCAGGGUAUGCAUACCCUCCUGUAUGUACCAUAUGAAUAAGGAUCGGCUAACUCCGUGCCAGCAGCCGCGGUAAUACGGAGGAUUCGAGCGUUAUCCGGAUUUAUUGGGUUUAAAGGGGGCGUAGGUGGAUUGUUAAGUCAGUGGUGAAAGUUUGCGGCUCAACCGUGAAAUUGCCGUUGAAACUGGCAGGCUUGAGUGUAGUAGCGGUAGGCGGAAUGCGUGGUGUAGCGGUGAAAUGCUUAGAUAUCACGAAGAACUCCGAUUGCGAAGGCAGCUCAC
rnacentral:rRNA from 1 species